GACGAACGCUGGCGGCGUGCUUAAUACAUGCAAGUCGAACGGAAAGACCCUGCUCUUGUUGCUUUCUCGAUUGGCGAACAGGUGAGUGACACGUGAGUAACCUCCCCUUGUCUUUGUGAUAUCUUCAGGAAACUGGGGCUAUUACCGGGUAUGAUCUCCUGCUGCAUGGUGGUGGUUAGAGAGUUUCGGCGGUUGGGGAUGGACUCGCGGGUUAUCCGCUUGUUUGUGGGGUAGUGGCUUACCAAGGCUUUGACGGGUAGCCCGCCUGAGAGGGUGACCGGCGUCAUUGGGACUGAGAGACGGACCAGACUGCUACGGGAGGCAGUAGGGGGGAGCAUUGCACAAUGGGCGGAAGCCAGAGGCAGCAACGCCGCGUUCGUGAUGACCUGCUUUGGGUGGUAAACCGAUUUGGCAGGAGACGUAGCCGGAGUGACGGUAACGGGUAAAGAAGCAACGGCUAACUACGUG
rnacentral:rRNA from 1 species